UGGUGGAGUGAUUUGUCUGGUUAAUUCCGUUAACGAACGAGACCUCGACCUGCUAAAUAGUUGGUCAAACCUCUCGGGGUUUGCAUUAACUUCUUAGAGGGACUUUUAGUGAAUAGCUAAAGGAAGUUCGAGGCAAUAACA
rnacentral:rRNA from 1 species